UUGGUAAAAAAAAAAAGGUAAAGUGCAGGCAGGGUGGAGUGGGUGGAGAAAGGUGGCAGGAGUGAUUUGUUAUUGAAGGAUAUCUGCAAGAAUGAAGGAGAAAGUUUAUAAGACAGUCGUGAGACCAGCUGUGUUAUACACCUGUGAGACAGUGGCGCUAA